rnacentral:tRNA from 1 species
GGGCUCGUAGAUCAGCGGAAGAUCGCUCCCUUGGCAUGGGAGAGGCCUGGGGUUCAAAUCCCCACGAGUCCA